AACGGGGUUGCUGAAAACCGAAUAGAGUAGGCG
ncrna:unclassified sequences DTF805b RNA